ensembl:misc_RNA 7SK 7SK RNA
GGAUGUGAGGGCGAUCUGACUGCAACAUCUGUCACCCACUGAUCGUCAGGGUUGAUGCAGCUGAUCUGGAUCGCUAGACGAGUGUCCCCUUCCUCACUCACCACUCCAUGGGCGUCCCUCCUGAAGCUGUGUGCUCAGUCCUCGUCGAAGAGGACGGCCUUCCCCGAAUAAAGACAGACUGGUCUUCAGUUGAGGGUAUAUGAGUAGCUGCGCUCCCCUGCUAGAACCUUCAAACAAGCUCUCAAGGUCCAAAUCCAAAUAAACAUGCUCUCCCCCCCAACUAAACUUCUGUGAGGGGGCAUCUACAGAUUUAGUAGUGCUCUGUGACUAAUAUUAGUAGCUUUGCU